GACGAACGCUGGCGGCGUGCUUAACACAUGCAAGUCGAACGAUGAAGCUAGAGCUUGCUCUGGUGAAUUAGUGGCGAACGGGUGAGUAACACGUGAGUAACCUGCCCCGAACUCUGGGAUAACUGCUGGAAACGGUAGCUAAUACUGGAUACGACCUACGAAGGCAUCUUCUGUAGGUGGAAAGAAUUUCGGUUCGGGAUGGACUCGCGGCCUAUCAGCGUGUUGGUGAGGUAAUGGCUCACCAAGGGGACGACGGGUAGCCGGCCUGAGAGGGGGACCGUCCACACUGGGACUGAGAAACGGCCCAGACUCCUACGGGAGGCAGCAGUGGGGAAUAUUGCACAAUGGGCGCAAGCCUGAUGCAGCAACGCCGCGUGAGGGAUGACGGCCUUCGGGUUGUAAACCUCUUUUAGUAGGGAAGAAGCGAAAGUGACGGUACCUGCAGAAAAAGCACCGGCUAACUACGUGCCAGCCGCCGCCGUAA
rnacentral:rRNA from 1 species